rnacentral:rRNA from 1 species
CAAGGAACGAGCGCAUUUAUUAGAAUAAAAACCAAUCGGGUUUCGGCCCGUUUAUUGGUGAAUCUGAAUAACUUUGCCAAUCGCACAGUCCUAGUACUGGCGAUGUAUCCUUCAAAUGUCUGCCUUAUCAACUUUCGAUGGUAGGUUAUACGCCUACCAUGGUAUUAACGGGUAACGGAGAAUAAGGGUUCGACUCCGGAGAGGGAGCCUGAGAAACGGCUACCACAUCCAAGGAAGGCAGCAGGCGCGCAAAUUACCCACUUUCAGAACGAAGAGGUAGUGACGAAAAAUAACGAGACAGUCCUCUUCGAGGUCUGUCAUCGGAAUGGGUACAAUUUAAAUCCUUUAACGAGGAUCUAUUGGAGGGCAAGUCUGGUGCCAGCAGCCGCGGUAAUUCCAGCUCCAAUAGCGUAUAUUAAAGUUGUUGCGGUUAAAACGCUCGUAGUUGGAUUUGCGGCCUCGGAGAACGGUCCCCCGAAAGGGUGGUCACUGUCUCUCCUAGCCUAAAUUCGAGUCGUCUCUAGGUGCUCUUAACCGGGUGCUUAGAGUGACUAGAACGUUUACUUUGAUAAAAUUAGAGUGCUUAAAGCAGGCGAAAUAGCCUGAAUAAAGUGCAUGGAAUAAUGGAAUAGGACCUCGGUUCUAUUUUGUUGGUUUUC